rnacentral:rRNA from 1 species
GACAGAGGUGGCGAGCGUUGUUCGGAAUUACUGGGCUUAAAGGGCGCGUAGGCGGUGGUUUAAGUCUGAGGUGGAAUGCUACAGCUCAACUGUAGAGCUGCCUUGGAAACUGGAUUACUUGAGUCGGUGAGGGGAAGGUGGAAUUCCAGGUGUAGCGGUGAAAUGCGUAGAUAUCUGGAGGAAGGUCUGUGGCGAAGGCGACCUUCUGGCACUUGACUGACGCUGAGGCGCGAAAGCGUGGGUAGCAAACAGG